AUUGCUUCUCGGCCUUUUGGCUAAGAUCAAGUGUAGUAUAGGUAAUUGAUCUCUAAUAAUUUCAUAUUAGCUCACUUAAU
rnacentral:snRNA from 2 species